CUCAGUUCAGAUUGCAGGCUGCAACCCGCCUGCAUGAAGUCGGAAUUGCUAGUAAUCGCGGAUCAGCAUGCCGCGGUGAAUACGUUCCCGGGCCUUGUACACACCGCCCGUCAAGCCAUGGGAGCCGGGGGUGCUUGAAGUGCGUCGCCGCAAGGCGCGCCCUAGAGCAAAACCGGUGACUGGGGCUAAGUCGUAACAAGGUACC
rnacentral:rRNA from 1 species